AUUGAACGCUGGCGGCAUGCCUUACACAUGCAAGUCGAACGGUAACAGGUCUUCGGAUGCUGACGAGUGGCGAACGGGUGAGUAAUACAUCGGAACGUGCCUAGUAGUGGGGGAUAACUACUCGAAAGAGUGGCUAAUACCGCAUGAGAUCUACGGAUGAAAGCAGGGGAUCGCAAGACCUUGUGCUACUAGAGCGGCCGAUGGCAGAUUAGGUAGUUGGUGGGAUAAAAGCUUACCAAGCCGACGAUCUGUAGCUGGUCUGAGAGGACGAUCUGCCACACGUGGAGUGAGAAACGGCCCAGACUCCUACGGGAGGCAGCAGUGGGGAAUUUUGGACAAUGGGCGCAAGACUGAGCCAGCAAUGCCGCGUGCAGGAUGAAGGCCUUCGGGUUGUAAACUGCUUUUGUACGGAACGAAAAGCCCCGGGUUAAUACCCUGGGGUCAUGACGGUACCGUAAGAAUAAGCACCGGCUAACUACGUGCCAGCCGCCGCCGUAA
rnacentral:rRNA from 1 species